CCCAUUUUUGUUUUCAGCCCAACCCACCAUCCCAUUCAGCCCAACUCAUUCUCUCUCCCUUCACAAACAUAGCCCAACCCAAAACAUACUCACAAACCCCUAGCACAAUCGCCCUGAAGCCGGCGGUUUCAACCGGCGGUGGCGGUGGCUGUGGCAGGACUGUUCCGACUGGACUGGUACUCCGAUUUCAACCUCCGAUUUCGUGUCAAAGCUGGAGCAGAACGUGAGUAUCUGUCCGACUGAAUAUUACUCCGAUUUCAGUUGGAGCAGAACGUGAAUAUUACUCCGAUUUCAACCCCUGGGACUACUGGACCAGAAUAUACUAUAUCACUACACUCGACUAGUAUAUACUACACACCUGUGGAGUCUCAGAUUAUAUCUCUCAUUCGCUUGCAAGGCUUCAGAUCUGUAAGUAUUCACUUAUUAUGCAGAGCAUUGGUUGGUGUGCUUAGAUUUGUACUUAUGUUGUUAAAUGCAGAGCACUUGCUGGUGUGCUUAGUUUUGUACUUAUAUUGUUAAAUGCAGAGCAUUGGCUGGUGUGCUUAGAUUUGUACUUAUGUUGCAUUUAGCUGGUGUGCUUAGAUUUGUACUUGUGUUGUUAAAUAGUAGAGUGCUUAGAUUUAUACUGAUUUAUAUUGAUAGUAGAUGAUUUUUCCUCUUGUGAAACAUCAAAGGGUACAACUUAAAUAGUGUAUGUUUUUUGUA